CACAAAUAGCCAUUGUUGUUGAAAAGAACAAAGUUGCAAGACAGACUACUCAUUUAAGACUUAUGUAGCUACAGUGAUUAGGACAGGGUGAUAUCUAUACAAGAAUAGAGUACAACACCUGUGGAACAGACAUGAGAUUCCCAAACAGACCUGCAUGUUUAUGAAAUGUUUGAUUAAUGACAAACCUGGGUAAUAAUUCAUGUUAGGUUCCAUGCCAAUUGGAUAUCUAUUUGGGAAAAAUUUAUUUUGAACCUUAACUCAUAACCUGUAUAUAUAACAAAUCAACAAAAUUUGCAGGAAAUAAAAAAGGAGAGUAUAUCAACUGGAGCGGGACUUACCGUAGACGCAAAGAAGCAUAAUUGGGACACAGCCUGAGGAGAACAUUGUUUGUUCCGGUGCUGAGCCCAGAGGCGAUUAGGGUCCCCGUUUUGGGCUGAAUUGUGUUUCCUUAGAUUCACACACAGAAGCCCUAUCCCCCAGUACCUCAGAAUGUGACAGUCUCUGGAGGUGGGGCCUCUUGAGAGAUAACUGGGUCAAAAUGAAGAUGUGGGAGGGGGCUCUACUCCAAUGUGACUGUUGCCCUUAUUAGAAGAGGACAUUUGGACACACACAGAGACACCAGAUGGAGGCACAGAGAAAAGAACAUGUGGGAACACAGGGAGAAGGUGACCAGCUGCAAGCCAAGGAGAGAGGCCUUGGGAGAAACCAACCCUGCUGACACCUCGAUCUUGGACUUGUAGCCUCUAGAACUCUGAGGAGUGGACUGCCUGCAAAUGGGUGCCACAACAAAGACCAUGAGAAGACCACACCUCAAAAUGGGGAGAAGUGGAGACAUCAGCAGCACUGUUGGCUCAAAGCCGGGAGCUGCACUUGCAGCUCUGCCCUUGACCCUAUGACCAGGGACUGACUUGGGUGAGCAGAACGAGGGUGUUCCCCGGAGGGCGAUGCAGCAUUGCAGCCUGUUAGACGGCCUCAGAGCGGUGCUGGCCCCAUCCAUCGAGCCACCUUGAGCAAGUGGCUGAGGCUGGUCUGAGCUGGUUCCCUCACACCCACUCCUUUGCCUGCUGGAGUCCUUGCAUACACACUUGCUCCAUCCACACACCCGACCCAGUGCGUGGGAGUCACCGAGAGACUCCUGCCCUCACCUGCAGCUUUCCUAGAACAGCUCCACUCAGCCAUAGGUGGCUGUUUCCUGAAACCUUACAUCUUGGGCCCUCAAAGCUGCAGGCCCCAGACAGGGCAUUUGGAGCAGGCAGACCUGACACUCGCCUGGUGGAGAGAAAGCGGCGCUCUGGCAGGUUCAGCAGCCUGAACGGGGGCUUGGCUCUGGCUCUCCAGUCCUCAUCCAUGAUGCCCCAGAACUCAACCUUCCAUCUGAGAGCUGAACUCGCUCCUCCAAUGUUCUCUGAAUAAUGGAAGUGUCAGAGCAGAGGGAUUCAAGGAUCCUGGCCAAGGAUCAGCUGCCCUAUCUGCCUUCACAUGUUCCUGAGGACCCAGAGACUCCAGGCUGCCCCCUGACCACUGGAGAUGGCUGCAAAGGGGGCGUCCUCUGGAAGAUGGUCAGCAGCCUCUAGAGGAAGCAGACAUCCUGGACGCUGACCUCCAGGGCCUAAUGCUCUGCCCCCUCUCCUGACCUGCACCUCGAGGGGGAUGUGUAGAGGGUCUGCUCUGGGAGUCUUGGCUGUGGCCCCCACCUACCCAAGAAAGCCAAUGCCCACGAUCAGCUCAGCUUCUGGGUGGCCCAUGGGGCACCAUUCGGUGUCCACUGACUGCAACCCCCUCCCCCCAACACCCGUCCUCUCUGUCCACCUCCCGGCAAACCUGUGGUGGAUUCAGCAGGUCUGAGUGAGACAGAGGUGGGCUGGGAGGCCGCAGGUGUGACCGUAAAUGGGCAGGGCAGCCAGACCACAGCACGCCUCAGCCAUCUGACUCCAGCCCCUCUUACAUACGUCCCCUCCAUCCUCAAACCACCCACAGCCCAUCGGUGCCAAACCAUGAGAGCCCCCACCUCAGGGCGUUGGGUGGUACAGGGCUCACCCGCUCCCAGGGGGCUCCACACCUGUCGGGGUUGGGGAGGAGGCUCCUGCCAGACAGAAGUAGCCGGGGGAGCAGGGGCCAGAGGGCGCAGCCAGGCCAGAGGCACCACAGAAAUGGCCAGGGGGACAGGACAGGCCUCUCUGAAAGGGUGGACCCAGGCGCACCCUGGCAGAGACCACCUUUCCGCGAUUUCCUUUUCAUCUCUCCUCUCUCAGGCUCCCUGUGACUCCUGCCUACACUGGCUCCAGGUAGCAUUUCCGGCAGGUGCCUGAGGGAAAGUGUGGCAGGGCUCUUCUCUCUGUCUCUCUUUCCCCUCUGAGAUAUGCACCUGGUUAUAAUUCUUCUCUGUCUUAAUCCCAAUUCAAGCUCAGGCCGUCCAGGGCCACAGACCUCUGUGAUCUGGCAGCUACAAUCAGAACAUCUAACAGUGCCCCACACUACCCCCCGCCCUCCCCUGAGCCAUCAGCUCCACGACUGGCCCUUGCUUUGGGCUGUCUUCUCUUGGGAGCUGGGAGGGUCCUAAAGAUGAGGAGAUGGGUCUGGUCUCAAAAGAGAUAUCGGCAGACACAAAUUCUUAAUGGCUUUGCUUUCUUGAGUAUGACGUGUUCUCAAGCCCCUCAAAGCCCGCAUGGCCUGCCCUCGAUCUGGCCCCUCCAACCGACACUCCCCAAGGCUUUCUGCCCUCGCAGCCCAGGUGGAAGUCCGGCUCUCCAAGCCUCACACUCUCCCAUGGCUGGGGGAUGUUGUUGGUCAGCUGUUAAGUGGAAAGGAGGACCGAGAGGAGGUCUGGGCUCAGCCCCUGGGACCAGGGCAGUGGCACUCAUACUCACUAACCUGAGAAGGUGCCCAUAGGGCAGGGCAGGGCCACCCCUGUGCCCACUGGACAGAAGUGACCUAGAGGGCAGGGCCCUCCCGCAGUCACAUGGAUGCCUUUAUUGGGAUGAGUGACCUCAGCUCUUGCCCAGAGAAUCAGAAGUGGCUGAGAUUGCAGAGCAGCCCUCCCUGGCCCCCACUCAGGCUCUCGACCACCCCCAGCUCACACACCCCUGCAGUGGGACAUUUCCCAGAAUAAGGGAGCAGAGCUCGCGAGCUGGAGUGACAGUGCCCUCCACUGCCAGGGUGGCUCUCAAGCCCAGGGACGGCAGUGGGCCCUGAGAUGCGGCCCCUUCUGAAUUAAUUCUUGGCUAUCUGUGCCAGACCCUGCUUAGGAGCCCAAAGCUGGGGAGAAAGCAUGGGGGUUCCAGGACUUGCCCAUCCUGUGGAAAGGUGGGUGUGGUGCCUUCAGCCCCACUCUUGGUGUGGAGGGCACUGCAAGGCACUGAAGAGUUGGGGCUCCAGACCCCACUCAGGGAGCCUCCAGAUGAGUGUUCUAGAAACCUGCUUCCACUCCAGCUAAGCUUGUUUUCAUUUACAUAUUCAUUAUGUCAUCACUUAUGGUUUGCUCAAACCCUUUCUGAAUGAGAUGGACCUAAUUUAAUAAAAAUUACACUGACAAGUACUCUAA
rnacentral:lncRNA from 10 species